CACGUAGGGCGCAAGCGUUGUCCGGAAUUAUUGGGCGUAAAGAGCUCGUAGGCGGUCUGUUGCGUCCGCUGUGAAAACCCGGGGCUUAACCCUGGGCUGGCAGUGGAUACGGACAGACUAGAGGUAGGUAGGGGAGAAUGGAAUUCCCGGUGUAGCGGUGAAAUGCGUAGAUAUCGAGAGGAACACCAGUGGCGAAGGCGAGUCCCUGGACAACUCCUGACGCUGAGGCACGAAAGCUAGGGGAGCAAACAGG
rnacentral:rRNA from 1 species